rnacentral:rRNA from 1 species
GACGUAGGGUGCAAGCGUUAUCCGGAUUCACUGGGUUAAAGGUGCGUAGGUGGCUUGUAAGUCAGUGGUGAAAUCUCCGGGCUUAACUCGGAAACUGCCAUUGAUACUAUAGGUCUUGAAUUAUCUGGAGGUCAGCGGAAUAUGUCAUGUAGCGGUGAAAUGCUUAGAUAUGACAUAGAACACCAAUGCGAAGGCAGCUG